rnacentral:rRNA from 1 species
GAUGAACGCUAGCGACAGGCUUAACACAUGCAAGUCGAGGGGCAGCGGGGGUGAUGGCUUGCCAUCACCUGCCGGCGACCGGCGCACGGGUGAGUAACACGUAUGCAACCUGCCCGCCACAGGGGGAUAAGCGGAAGAAAUUCCGUCUAAUACCGCGUGACGCGGCGCCGGGGCAUCCCGGUGCCGCCAAAGGGAUUACCGGUGGCGGAUGGGCAUGCGGCGCAUUAGCUAGUCGGCGGGGUAACGGCCCACCGAGGCGACGAUGCGUAGGGGUUCUGAGAGGAAGGUCCCCCACACUGGUACUGAGACACGGACCAG